GUGCCCUGUGCCCUGGGGAAUGAGAGCAAACCAAGGCAACUGUGGAUGCUGAAAUCAGAAGAGCUGAUGGAUUAGAGGGACAGACAUCACAAACAUCUGAGUUUAGUCAGGGGAAGUGGCUGAGAAGAUCAUAAAAGCUGUUCCACUUUUUAGGUUCCAAGUUGAAGAAAGGAAGAAGGAUUGAGCUGACCUCAAGGCUAAGCUUAUUCUAAAAGAUACGUACCCUGCACCAAGAUGGAUACCACAGUUCUCUGAAGAGCAGCGGGAAGCUCACUCAUGGUGUCUUUCUCUCCAUGUUCCUGGCCGUCAACUUCCUCCUCAACAGUUCCCUGGGGUGUUUUUAAAAAACAUGAUUUGAUAAACUAUUCCACUGGUUUUCCUUUAUUUUUUGCAAAAUUGCAUGAGUUACACAGUGCAGCAUUCUAGUCCAGCCUUGCAGAUGCCCUGCCUGUGUGCCAACUUGCCCUCUUUCUCUGGGAACAAUGGUCUCAAACAAGACAGCUGGUCGUAGUCUUGUGAAAGACACGGGCUGGAGUCCUAAACCCUCAGCACCUCAGAAGGUGAACUGACCGAGAGCUGGCAUCCUCACAACUUAAAGGUGGGGUCUGCUGAGGCUGAGAGGCUGUAAUACAGCACGCCUAAUAUUCCGAUAGAAGAGGAAAUAUGAAUUCCGAGGCACCGAGGGAAGACUGGGUAAAGACUCAGGAAGAUGCCAAUGUGAAAACACUGACGUGGAGUGGUAAUACCGGAAACAGAGUGCCAGAACCUGAGAAGCAAGAACUUCACUACACCUUUCGAAGGGUCCCUCCUACUGGCAUAUUAAUUUUGUUUGUCCUGCAGCUGUAGGAAUGGCUCAACAGUUAAGAGCACUUGCUCUUAUAGAGGACCCAAGUCUGUCUCCCAAUACCCACAUGGGACAUCACAUCCGUCUGUAACUCAAAGUUGUUCCAGCAGAUCCAAUGCUCUCUUCUGGACUCCAUGGGUACCAGGCACAAGGUGGUGCACAUACAUUCAUGGACGCAAACAGGCAUAUACACAAAGUAAAUACAUUGUAAAAAAUCUCUUUAUGUGUUUAGAUUCUCUAAUCAUGAGACAGUAAAUUUUGUUCUAAGAGACUCAGUUUGUCAUUAAUUUAGAAAAUUAAUAUUGUUGGCAAUUUCUCUAGGCUCUACCCAAGAGCUACCUAGCGACAGCUUGCAUUACUGCCCACCAGGUACGAGUCAGAAGUCACGCUUAUAAGAAGACUGCUUCUCACUCUCUCUCUCUCUCUCUCUCUCUCUCUCUCUCUCUCCAUCUUUUCUUUCUCUUUGUUCCCAUGUGUUUCUGGCUGGCCUCUUCCUCUCUUCCUUUCUCUCUCCUCUCUCCUUCCUUCUCUGUCCCUUUCCUUUCCCCACCUCAACCUCUUCUCCAGGUCCUUUCCCUUCUCCCAAUAAACUUCCUUUUCUUCUGGGCCUAUUGCAUGGUGGUGAUUCUUCAGGAGAACACCUUGGCUGGGCCCACAGUUGUUCCCACCCAGAGUUUUAUAAAAGACAAUAAAGAUAACACCUGACUUGUC